GGUCAAGUGAAGAAGCGCAUACGGUGGAUGCCUUGGCAGUCAGGCGAUGAAAGACGUGGUAGCCUGCGAAAAGCUUCGGGGAGUCGGCAAACAGACUUUGAUCCGGAGAUGUCUGAAUGGGGGAACCCAGCCAUCAUAAGAUGGUUAUCUUGUACUGAAUACAUAGGUGCAAGAGGCGAACCAGGGGAACUGAAACAUCUAAGUACCCUGAGGAAAAGAAAUCAACCGAGAUUCCCUUAGUAGUGGCGAGCGAACGGGGACUAGCCCUUAAGUGGCUUUGAGAUUAGCGGAACGCUCUGGAAAGUGCGGCCAUAGUGGGUGAUAGCCCUGUACGCGAAAAUCUCUUAGUCAUGAAAUCGAGUAGGACGGAGCACGAGAAACUUUGUCUGAAUAUGGGGGGACCAUCCUCCAAGGCUAAAUACUACUGACUGACCGAUAGUGAACUAGUACCGUGAGGGAAAGGCGAAAAGAACCCCGGAGAGGGGUGAAAUAGAUCCUGAAACCGUAUGCGUACAAGCAGUGGGAGCCCACUUUGUUGGGUGACUGCGUACCUUUUGUAUAAUGGGUCAGCGACUUAUUUUCAGUGGCGAGCUUAACCGAAUAGGGGAGGCGUAGCGAAAGCGAGUCUUAAUAGGGCGUCUAGUCGCUGGGAAUAGACCCGAAACCGGGCGAUCUAUCCAUGGGCAGGUUGAAGGUUGGGUAACACUAACUGGAGGACCGAACCGACUACCGUUGAAAAGUUAGCGGAUGACCUGUGGAUCGGAGUGAAAGGCUAAUCAAGCUCGGAGAUAGCUGGUUCUCCUCGAAAGCUAUUUAGGUAGCGCCUCAUGUAUCACUGUAGGGGGUAGAGCACUGUUUCGGCUAGGGGGUCAUCCCGACUUACCAAACCGAUGCAAACUCCGAAUACCUACAAGUGCCGAGCAUGGGAGACACACGGCGGGUGCUAACGUCCGUCGUGAAAAGGGAAACAACCCAGACCGUCAGCUAAGGUCCCAAAGUUAUGGUUAAGUGGGAAACGAUGUGGGAAGGCUUAGACAGCUAGGAGGUUGGCUUAGAAGCAGCCACCCUUUAAAGAAAGCGUAAUAGCUCACUAGUCGAGUCGGCCUGCGCGGAAGAUGUAACGGGGCUCAAACCAUACACCGAAGCUACGGGUAUCACUUAGGUGAUGCGGUAGAGGAGCGUUCUGUAAGCCUGUGAAGGUGAGUUGAGAAGCUUGCUGGAGGUAUCAGAAGUGCGAAUGCUGACAUGAGUAACGACAAUGGGUGUGAAAAACACCCACGCCGAAAGACCAAGGUUUCCUGCGCAACGUUAAUCGACGCAGGGUUAGUCGGUCCCUAAGGCGAGGCUGAAAAGCGUAGUCGAUGGAAAACAGGUUAAUAUUCCUGUACUUCUGGUUAUUGCGAUGGAGGGACGGAGAAGGCUAGGCCAGCUUGGCGUUGGUUGUCCAAGUUUAAGGUGGUAGGCUGAGAUCUUAGGUAAAUCCGGGAUCUUAAGGCCGAGAGCUGAUGACGAGUUACCCUUUGGGUGACGAAGUGGUUGAUGCCAUGCUUCCAAGAAAAGCUUCUAAGCUUCAGGUAACCAGGAACCGUACCCCAAACCGACACAGGUGGUUGGGUAGAGAAUACCAAGGCGCUUGAGAGAACUCGGGUGAAGGAACUAGGCAAAAUGGCACCGUAACUUCGGGAGAAGGUGCGCCGGUGAGGGUGAAGCACUUGCUGCGUAAGCCCACGCCGGUCGAAGAUACCAGGCCGCUGCGACUGUUUAUUAAAAACACAGCACUCUGCAAACACGAAAGUGGACGUAUAGGGUGUGACGCCUGCCCGGUGCCGGAAGGUUAAUUGAUGGGGUUAGCUAACGCGAAGCUCUUGAUCGAAGCCCCGGUAAACGGCGGCCGUAACUAUAACGGUCCUAAGGUAGCGAAAUUCCUUGUCGGGUAAGUUCCGACCUGCACGAAUGGCGUAACGAUGGCGGCGCUGUCUCCACCCGAGACUCAGUGAAAUUGAAAUCGCUGUGAAGAUGCAGUGUAUCCGCGGCUAGACGGAAAGACCCCGUGAACCUUUACUAUAGCUUUGCACUGGACUUUGAAUUUGCUUGUGUAGGAUAGGUGGGAGGCUUUGAAGCGUGGACGCCAGUUCGCGUGGAGCCAUCCUUGAAAUACCACCCUGGCAACUUUGAGGUUCUAACUCAGGUCCGUUAUCCGGAUCGAGGACAGUGUAUGGUGGGUAGUUUGACUGGGGCGGUCUCCUCCUAAAGAGUAACGGAGGAGUACGAAGGUGCGCUCAGACCGGUCGGAAAUCGGUCGUAGAGUAUAAAGGCAAAAGCGCGCUUGACUGCGAGACAGACACGUCGAGCAGGUACGAAAGUAGGUCUUAGUGAUCCGGUGGUUCUGUAUGGAAGGGCCAUCGCUCAACGGAUAAAAGGUACUCCGGGGAUAACAGGCUGAUACCGCCCAAGAGUUCAUAUCGACGGCGGUGUUUGGCACCUCGAUGUCGGCUCAUCACAUCCUGGGGCUGAAGCCGGUCCCAAGGGUAUGGCUGUUCGCCAUUUAAAGUGGUACGCGAGCUGGGUUUAGAACGUCGUGAGACAGUUCGGUCCCUAUCUGCCGUGGACGUUUGAGAUUUGAGAGGGGCUGCUCCUAGUACGAGAGGACCGGAGUGGACGAACCUCUGGUGUUCCGGUUGUCACGCCAGUGGCAUUGCCGGGUAGCUAUGUUCGGAAAAGAUAACCGCUGAAAGCAUCUAAGCGGGAAACUUGCCUCAAGAUGAGAUCUCACUGGGACCUUGAGUCCCCUGAAGGGCCGUCGAAGACUACGACGUUGAUAGGUGGGGUGUGUAAGCGCUGUGAGGCGUUGAGCUAACCCAUACUAAUUGCCCGUGAGGCUUGACCAU
rnacentral:rRNA from 1 species